rnacentral:rRNA from 1 species
CCUACGGGCGGCUGCAGUGGGGAAUAUUGGACAAUGGGGGGAACCCUGAUCCAGCCAUGCCGCGUGUGUGAAGAAGGCCUCGGGUUGUAAAGCACUUUCAGUGAGGAAGAACGCCUGGUGGUUAAUACCCAUCAGGAAAGACAUCACUCACAGAAGAAGCACCGGCUAACUCCGUGCCAGCAGCCGCGGUAAUACGGAGGGUGCGAGCGUUAAUCGGAAUUACUGGGCGUAAAGCGCGCGUAGGUGGCUUGAUAAGCCGGUUGUGAAAGCCCCGGGCUCAACCUGGGAACGGCAUCCGGAACUGUCAAGCUAGAGUGCAGGAGAGGAAGGUAGAAUUCCCGGUGUAGCGGUGAAAUGCGUAGAGAUCGGGAGGAAUACCAGUGGCGAAGGCGGCCUUCUGGACUGACACUGACACUGAGGUGCGAAAGCGUGGGUAGCAAACAGGAUUAGAUACCCCUGUAGUC